rnacentral:rRNA from 1 species
GUGGAUUAGAUACCCUGGUAGUCCACGCCCUAAACGAUGUCAACUAGUUGUCGGGUCUUAAUUGACUUGGUAACGCAGCUAACGCGUGAAGUUGACCGCCUGGGGAGUACGGUCGCAAGAUUAAAACUCAAAGGAAUUGACGGGGACCCGCACAAGCGGUGGAUGAUGUGGAUUAAUUCGAUGCAACGCGAAAAACCUUACCUACCCUUGACAUGGUCGGAAUCCUGGAGAGAUCUGGGAGUGCUCGAAAGAGAACCGGCGCACAGGUGCUGCAUGGUCGUCGACAGCU